CUGGACGCGGCCGCCGGCCGGUGCCCCGGGUGGUGGUGGUACGUCAGCGACCGCGCCAGCUGGAACGACCUCUUGCCGCCGCCGCCGCAAUCAUCCAUCUCACGCGCCGACGCAGCAGCAGCGGUCGGCCGCGCCGCCGCGGGAGAAGGCGAAUCCAGGCUAUGGCGGUUAACCGGAGGCGAGGAGAAGGGGGAGAAGGAAGACGAAGAGGAAGCGAGCUGGGCAAGCAAUCGACACGAGAAGAUCAGAAGCCCGAUUCAGCGAAGUUUGGAAAUUACUACUAAUCCUUACAAAUUUCUCAAAGGAGGUUUGGUUUAA
rnacentral:misc_RNA from 1 species